rnacentral:tRNA from 1 species
GGAGAGCUGUCCGAGAGGCCGAAGGAGCACGAUUGGAAAUCGUGUAUACCAUUACCGUGGUAUCGAGGGUUCGAAUCCCUCGCUCUCCGCCA